rnacentral:rRNA from 1 species
CAUGUUAUCGAUAUGUGAAUACAUAGCAUAUCAGAAGGCACACCCGGAGAACUGAAACAUCUUAGUACCCGGAGGAAGAGAAAGAAAAUUCGAUUCCCUUAGUAGCGGCGAGCGAAACGGGAAGAGCCCAAACCAACAAGCUUGCUUGUUGGGGUUGUAGGACACUCUAUACGGAGUUACAAAGGACGACAUUAGACGAAUCAUCUGGAAAGAUGAAUCAAAGAAGGUAAUAAUCCUGUAGUCGAAAAUGUUGUCUCUCUUGAGUGGAUCCUGAGUACGACGGAGCACGUGAAAUUCCGUCGGAAUCUGGGAGGACCAUCUCCUAAGGCUAAAUACUCUCUAGUGACCGAUAGUGAACCAGUACCGUGAGGGAAAGGUGAAAAGCACCCCGGAAGGGGAGUGAAAUAGAACCUGAAACCGUGUGCUUACAAGUAGUCAGAGCCCGUUAAUGGGUGAUGGCGUGCCUUUUGUAGAAUGAACCGGCGAGUUACGAUUUGAUGCAAGGUUAAGCAGUAAAUGUGGAGCCGUAGCGAAAGCGAGUCUGAAUAGGGCGUUUAGUAUUUGGUCGUAGACCCGAAACCAGGUGAUCUACCCUUGGUCAGGUUGAAGUUCAGGUAACACUGAAUGGAGGACCGAACCGACUUACGUUGAAAAGUGAGCGGAUGAACUGAGGGUAGCGGAGAAAUUCCAAUCGAACCUGGAGAUAGCUGGUUCUCUCCGAAAUAGCUUUAGGGCUAGCCUCAAGUGAUGAUUAUUGGAGGUAGAGCACUGUUUGGACGAGGGGCCCCUCUCGGGUUACCGAAUUCAGACAAACUCCGAAUGCCAAUUAAUUUAACUUGGGAGUCAGAACAUGGGUGAUAAGGUCCGUGUUCGAAAGGGAAACAGCCCAGACCACCAGCUAAGGUCCCAAAAUAUAUGUUAAGUGGAAAAGGAUGUGGCGUUGCCCAGACAACUAGGAUGUUGGCUUAGAAGCAGCCAUCAUUUAAAGAGUGCGUAAUAGCUCACUAGUCGAGUGACACUGCGCCGAAAAUGUACCGGGGCUAAACAUAUUACCGAAGCUGUGGAUUGUCCUUUGGACAAUGGUAGGAGAGCGUUCUAAGGGCGUUGAAGCAUGAUCGUAAGGACAUGUGGAGCGCUUAGAAGUGAGAAUGCCGGUGUGAGUAGCGAAAGACGGGUGAGAAUCCCGUCCACCGAUUGACUAAGGUUUCCAGAGGAAGGCUCGUCCGCUCUGGGUUAGUCGGGUCCUAAGCUGAGGCCGACAGGCGUAGGCGAUGGAUAACAGGUUGAUAUUCCUGUACCACCUAUAAUCGUUUUAAUCGAUGGGGGGACGCAGUAGGAUAGGCGAAGCGUGCGAUUGGAUUGCACGUCUAAGCAGUAAGGCUGAGUAUUAGGCAAAUCCGGUACUCGUUAAGGCUGAGCUGUGAUGGGGAGAAGACAUUGUGUCUUCGAGUCGUUGAUUUCACACUGCCGAGAAAAGCCUCUAGAUAGAAAAUAGGUGCCCGUACCGCAAACCGACACAGGUAGUCAAGAUGAGAAUUCUAAGGUGAGCGAGCGAACUCUCGUUAAGGAACUCGGCAAAAUGACCCCGUAACUUCGGGAGAAGGGGUGCUCUUUAGGGUUAACGCCCAGAAGAGCCGCAGUGAAUAGGCCCAAGCGACUGUUUAUCAAAAACACAGGUCUCUGCUAAACCGUAAGGUGAUGUAUAGGGGCUGACGCCUGCCCGGUGCUGGAAGGUUAAGAGGAGUGGUUAGCUUCUGCGAAGCUACGAAUCGAAGCCCCAGUAAACGGCGGCCGUAACUAUAACGGUCCUAAGGUAGCGAAAUUCCUUGUCGGGUAAGUUCCGACCCGCACGAAAGGCGUAACGAUUUGGGCACUGUCUCAACGAGAGACUCGGUGAAAUCAUAGUACCUGUGAAGAUGCAGGUUACCCGCGACAGGACGGAAAGACCCCGUGGAGCUUUACUGUAGCCUGAUAUUGAAAUUCGGCACAGCUUGUACAGGAUAGGUAGGAGCCUUUGAAACGUGAGCGCUAGCUUACGUGGAGGCGCUGGUGGGAUACUACCCUAGCUGUGUUGGCUUUCUAACCCGCACCACUUAUCGUGGUGGGAGACAGUGUCAGGCGGGCAGUUUGACUGGGGCGGUCGCCUCCUAAAAGGUAACGGAGGCGCUCAAAGGUUCCCUCAGAAUGGUUGGAAAUCAUUCAUAGAGUGUAAAGGCAUAAGGGAGCUUGACUGCGAGACCUACAAGUCGAGCAGGGUCGAAAGACGGACUUAGUGAUCCGGUGGUUCCGCAUGGAAGGGCCAUCGCUCAACGGAUAAAAGCUACCCCGGGGAUAACAGGCUUAUCUCCCCCAAGAGUUCACAUCGACGGGGAGGUUUGGCACCUCGAUGUCGGCUCAUCGCAUCCUGGGGCUGUAGUCGGUCCCAAGGGUUGGGCUGUUCGCCCAUUAAAGCGGUACGCGAGCUGGGUUCAGAACGUCGUGAGACAGUUCGGUCCCUAUCCGUCGUGGGCGUAGGAAAUUUGAGAGGAGCUGUCCUUAGUACGAGAGGACCGGGAUGGACAUACCUCUGGUGUACCAGUUGUCGUGCCAACGGCAUAGCUGGGUAGCUAUGUGUGGACGGGAUAAGUGCUGAAAGCAUCUAAGCAUGAAGCCCCCCUCAAGAUGAGAUUUCCCAACUUCGGUUAUAAGAUCCCUCAAAGAUGAUGAGGUUAAUAGGUUCGAGGUGGAAGCAUGGUGACAUGUGGAGCUGACGAAUACUAAUCGAUCGAAGACUUAAUCAA